rnacentral:lncRNA from 10 species
CAGUGAGCCAAGAUCGCGCCACUGCACUCCAGCCUGGGCAACAAGAGCAAAACUCCGUCUCAAAAACGAAAAAAAGAAGAAGGGCCUGGCUUCUUGGAAGUGGCAGCUACUGAUAGGAGUUUGGGUUUGUGUUUGCUGGGGGGAUGGUGGGAGCACAGGUUAGUCCCCAUCCUGGCCCCCUCCACGGAUGCCCCUAAACCUAUCAGAAUCUGGCAGUGGCGGGCUGCUCAGUUCCCUGCUGUCUAGCCUGGGGAAUGGCGACGUGGAAAGGGGAAAGCCCCACCUCCUAACGCCCCUUCUCCCAAGCUCCCCGUCCACCACCAAAGGCAGGAAGGACAGUUUCAGCGCAGCUUAUUCCCCCACCCCCAGCCCAGCCUAGAAGGAAACACAAACCCCUCCAGCCCGUGCCAUCCCUCCUGUGUGGGUCCUGCAUCAAGUCCUAAGUGCCUGUGAGGUCUUCCAGGGGCUUCGAGGGGAGGACGUGGGGCAGGGAGAGGCCUUUGCCUCCCUCACAGACACCCCUUUCCUGACAGGUCCUGACCCUGGCUGAGGCCACACAUUCUGUCACGCAGGGGUCUGGGAGGAAAUUGGCAAGAAGUAGAAACCAGUGAGC